UAUCUGUAUGUGAAUGCAGCAGGGCCAGAAGAACAUGGUGGAAUUCUUUGACCUACUCCUUUCUCCGGCAUCGAAAAUCUUGAACACCUGGUUUGAGAGUGAGGUUUUGAAGGCCACUCUUGCAACUGACGCCGUGAUAGGAGCUAUGGUGAGG